UUAAGUUCAGCGGGUAUCCCUACCUGAUCCGAGGUCAACCUGUAAAAAAUUGGGGGUUACUGGCAAGACACCACCGAGACCCUAUAGCGAGAAGAAUUACUACGCUCAGAGCUCGGAGGCACCGCCACUGGGUUUAGAGGCUGCGGAAUCGCAGGUCCCAAGACAAGCCGAAGCUUGAUGGGUUGAAAUGACGCUCGAAC
rnacentral:misc_RNA from 1 species